rnacentral:rRNA from 1 species
GAGCGGUAGCACAGGAGAGCUUGCUCUCUGGGUGACGAGCGGCGGACGGGUGAGUAAUGUCUGGGAAACUGCCUGAUGGAGGGGGAUAACUACUGGAAACGGUAGCUAAUACCGCAUAACGUCUACGGACCAAAGUGCGGGACCCUCGGGCCUCACGCCAUCAGAUGUGCCCAGAUGGGAUUAGCUAGUAGGUGGGGUAAUGGCUCACCUAGGCGACGAUCCCUAGCUGGUCUGAGAGGAUGACCAGCCACACUGGAACUGAGACACGGUCCAGACUCCUACGGGAGGCAGCAGUGGGGAAUAUUGCACAAUGGGCGCAAGCCUGAUGCAGCCAUGCCGCGUGUGUGAAGAAGGCCUUAGGGUUGUAAAGCACUUUCAGCGAGGAGGAAGGGUAGUGUGUUAAUAGCACAUUGCAUUGACGUUACUCGCAGAAGAAUCUUUUGCUAACUCCGUGCCAGCAGCCGCGGUAAUACGGAGGGUGCAAGCGUUAAUCGGAAUUACUGGGCGUAAAGCGCACGCAGGCGGUUUGUUAAGUCAGAUGUGAAAUCCCCGCGCUUAACGUGGGAACUGCAUUUGAAACUGGCAAGCUAGAGUCUUGUAGAGGGGGGUAGAAUUCCAGGUGUAGCGGUGAAAUGCGUAGAGAUCUGGAGGAAUACCGGUGGCGAAGGCGGCCCCCUGGACAA